rnacentral:rRNA from 1 species
GACAGAGGGGGCAAGCGUUGCUCGGAAUCACUGGGCGUAAAGGGCGCGUAGGCGGGAUGGCAAGUCGGUCGUGAAAUCCUUCGGCUCAACCGAAGAACGUCGGCCGAUACUGCUGUUCUUGAGGGAUGCAGAGGAGAUUGGAAUUCCCGGUGUAGCGGUGAAAUGUGUAGAGAUCGGAAGAACACCAGUGGCGAAGGCGGCUCACUGGCCCGGUACUGACGCUGAGGUGCGAAAGCGUGGGGAGCGAACAGG